ensembl:lncRNA
AAACAUACUGAGCAAACCUUAGAAGCAAUGUAUCCUUGUUCAGUUACUGUUCUGCGUGGAGCCAGCCUGGGAAACAGCUGCCGUAGCAUGAUUCUUCUACAAAAUGGAUGUACUGUCCACAGUGAAUUCCUGCUUGACCAACCUGAUCACCUUCUAUGAUCCAGUGACCCGUCUGGUGGAUGAGGGAAAGGCUGUUGAUGUGCUCUACCUAGACUUCAGCAAAGCCUUUGACACUGUCUCCCACAGUAUUCUGCAGAAGCUGGCAGAUCGUGGCUUGGACAGAUACACUCUUGGCUGCAUUCCACUACUUUUUUUCUCCUGAGACAAGUGAACAACUGAAGCUCUGCAUCAUGAUAGAACCAAAGAAAUCUGUCUUCUGCCAGAAAACAAGAACCUAGGCUGGUCUAAAAGCGUGAAGAACUUGUGUGGCUCUGUAUGACUCCAGUCUGAUUCUUCUUGCUGAGAAAUUUCCAUUACCCCCUUGAAGGAAUUUAGCAAUGCUAUGCAAUACCACAUGUAGAGCUUUUCAGAAGUUGUUUUCAAAUUCAAAUGGAACAAACAGUUCAAUUAAGAUUAAAAUACCUAGGAAGAGUGGAGUUUUCCAGAAAUCAAAAUGCUUAACAUAUAUUGUUUUAUAGAGGUCUGUAGCCUGCUGAAGAAAUAACUCAGAACAUGCUCUUCUUACUUUAUUGCUCUGUAUUUUGCAAAAUAAGUGGAAUUAAGGAGGAACUUGGAACAGCAUUUUUGCCUUGAUCCAAUUUUUGCAUAAUACACAUUUAACAACUUUCACUUGAAUCACCCUUUUAUGUUAAUCAUUCAGAGUUUUUACAGGAACAUUGGUUUUACAGGAACAUCACUGUUGAAUUCCAUGGAUAUUUUAUUUGUAUCUGUUAAAUUGCUAUCGCACUUG